AUUCUUCGGAAGGAAGCUCAAGUGACUGAGUGGCGGACGGGUGAGUAACGCGUGGGUAACCUGCCUCAUACAGGGGGAUAACAGUUAGAAAUGACUGCUAAUACCGCAUAAGCACACGUGAUCGCAUGAUCGAGUGUGAAAAACUCCGGUGGUAUGGGAUGGACCCGCGUCUGAUUAGCUAGUUGGUGGGGUAACGGCCCACCAGGGCGACGAUCAGUAGCCGGCCUGAGAGGGUGAACGGCCACAUUGGGACUGAGACACGGCCCAAACUCCUACGGGAGGCAGCAGUGGGGAAUAUUGCACAAUGGGGGAAACCCUGAUGCAGCGACGCCGCGUGAAGGAUGAAGUAUUUCGGUAUGUAAACUUCUAUCAGCAGGGAAGAAAAUGACGGUACCUGACUAAGAAGCCCCGGCUAACUACGUGCCAGCAGCCGCGGUAAUACGUAGGGGGCAAGCGUUAUCCGGAUUUACUGGGUGUAAAGGGAGCGUAGACGGCAGUGCAAGUCUGAAGUGAAAGCCCGGGGCUCAACCCCGGGACUGCUUUGGAAACUGUGCAGCUAGAGUGUCGGAGAGGCAAGCGGAAUUCCUAGUGUAGCGGUGAAAUGCGUAGAUAUUAGGAGGAACACCAGUGGCGAAGGCGGCUUGCUGGACG
rnacentral:rRNA from 1 species